GAUAUACCCCUCUCCAUCCGUAAUUACUUGUGACAUAAAUAUGGAUGUAUCUAGACGUAUUUUUGGUUCUAGAUACAUCAAUUUCUAUCCAUUUCUGGGACAAGUAAUUCGGGACGGAGGGAGCACAUU
rfam:Triticum aestivum genome assembly, contig: Triticum_aestivum_CS42_TGACv1_scaffold_147764_2BS